CCGGCGCACGGGUGAGUAACGCGUAUCCAACCUUCCGUACACUCAGGGAUAGCCUUUCGAAAGAAAGAUUAAUACCUGAUGGUAUGAUGAGAUUGCAUGAUAGCAUCAUUAAAGAUUUAUCGGUGUACGAUGGGGAUGCGUUCCAUUAGGUAGUAGGCGGGGUAACGGCCCACCUAGCCAACGAUGGAUAGGGGUUCUGAGAGGAAGGUCCCCCACAUUGGAACUGAGACACGGUCCAAACUCCUACGGGAGGCAGCAGUGAGGAAUAUUGGUCAAUGGACGAGAGUCUGAACCAGCCAAGUAGCGUGAAGGAUGAAGGUCCUACGGAUUGUAAACUUCUUUUAUAAGGGAAUAAACCCUCCCACGUGUGGGAGCUUGUAUGUACCUUAUGAAUAAGCAUCGGCUAACUCCGUGCCAGCAGCCGCGGUAAUACGGAGGAUGCGAGCGUUAUCCGGAUUUAUUGGGUUUAAAGGGAGCGCAGACGGGUCGUUAAGUCAGCUGUGAAAGUUUGGGGCUCAACCUUAAAAUUGCAGUUGAUACUGGCGUCCUUGAGUGCGGUUGAGGUGUGCGGAAUUCGUGGUGUAGCGGUGAAAUGCUUAGAUAUCACGAAGAACUCCGAUUGCGAAGGCAGCACACUA
rnacentral:rRNA from 1 species